GACGAACGCUGGCGGCGUGCUUAACACAUGCAAGUCGAACGGAAAGGCCCUGCUUUUGUGGGGUGCUCGAGUGGCGAACGGGUGAGUAACACGUGAGUAACCUGCCCUUGACUUUGGGAUAACUUCAGGAAACUGGGGCUAAUACCGGAUAGGAGCUCCUGCUGCAUGGUGGGGGUUGGAAAGUUUCGGCGGUUGGGGAUGGACUCGCGGCUUAUCAGCUUGUUGGUGGGGUAGUGGCUUACCAAGGCUUUGACGGGUAGCCGGCCUGAGAGGGUGACCGGCCACAUUGGGACUGGGGUACCGCCCAGACUCCUACGGGGGGCAGCAGUGGGGAAUAUUGCACAAUGGGCGGAAGCCUGAUGCAGCAACGCCGCGUGCGGGAUGACGGCCUUCGGGUUGUAAACCGCUUUCGCCUGUGACGAAGCGUGAGUGACGGUAAUGGGUAAAGAAGCACCGGCUAACUACGUG
rnacentral:rRNA from 1 species